AUUGAACGCUGGCGGCAGACCUAACACAUGCAAGUCGAACGAGUGGCGGACGGGUGAGUAAUGUCUGGGAAACUGCCUGAUGGAGGGGGAUAACUACUGGAAACGGUAGCUAAUACCGCAUACCAUCGGAUGUGCCCAGAUGGGCUUAGCUAGUAGGUGGGGUAAAGGCUCACCUAGGCGACGAUCCCUAGCUGGUCUGGGAGGAUGACCAGACACACUGGAACGGAGAAACGGUCCAGACGCCUACGGGAGGGAGCAGUGGGGAAUAUUGCACAAGGGGCGCAAGCCUGAUGCAGCCAUGCCGCGUGGAUGAAGAAGGCCUUCGGGUUGUAAAGUACUUUCAGCGGGGAGGCGUUACCCGCAGAAGAAGCACCGGCUAACUCCGUGCCAGCAGCCGCGGUAAUAC
rnacentral:rRNA from 1 species